rnacentral:tRNA from 1 species
GCUGUGAUUAUGGCUCAGUGGUAGAGUGCUUGCCUAGCAUGUGUGAGGCACUGGGUUCAAUUCUCAGCACUGCA